UAUUCAUAAGAAUAUAAUUGAAAAGCAAAUAUUAGAAAGGGGCAAAACUGUAAUUAGAUAGGAAACCCAAAUGAAAGAAAAUUAAGCGUAAGGGGGAAUAACGUAACUCUAGAAAAGCAGGACACCUCAGCAGAUGAGACUGAGCAAUAACACCCACCCCGCCACGUGGAUAGCCACGCCAGCUGACCUGCACGUGUGGUCAGCCACGCAAACAGGAGGGUGUGUAGAUUGGAUUGCUAGGAUUCUAGAUACCGAAGGAAUGGCUAAGGGCUAAUUUAGAAACGAGUGAUUGGAACUAAAAGACCAGAAGAUCGAACAGUUAGGAGAACUCAUGGUCUCAAUUUGCAGAGUAGAGAGAUCCAACGACCCUGAUUUCGCUCAGAUAAAAAGUAUGAAAUUACUGUUAGUGAGGCUCGAUCCUCUGGUCCUUCUAUUGCCAUGCACACAAAGAUUGGACGGCUAUGACAAAUGAAAUUGAAAAUAAAAAAAGAUAUUAAGUUAAAUUACAAAUAAAAGAAACACUAAUUAAAAAAAUAAAAAAGGAACCAAAUAAGCAAUAAAAUCAU
rnacentral:lncRNA from 1 species